rnacentral:rRNA from 1 species
ACCAGCACCAGCACUCAUGCUCCGGAUCCCAUCAGAACUCUGAACGUGAGCGUGCGUGCGCGAGAGUAGUACUAGGAUGGGUGACCCCCUGGGAAGUCCUCGUGUUGCACCCC